rnacentral:rRNA from 1 species
GACAGAGGUGCCGAGCGUUAGGCGGAAUCACUGGGCUUAAAGCGUGUGUAGGCGGCUUCCUAAGUACCUUGUGAAAUCCCACGGCUUAACCGUGGAACUGCUUGGUAUACUGGGUGUCUUGAGCCAACUAGGGGCGACCGGAACAAACGGUGGAGCGGUGAAAUGCGUAGAUAUCGUUUGGAACGCCAAUGGUGAAAACAGGUCGCUGGGGUUGUGCUGACGCUGAGACACGAAAGCCAGGGGAGCGGACGGG